GAUGAACGCUGGCGGCGUACCUAAUACAUGCAAGUCGAGCGAACAGACGAGGAGCUUGCUCCUCUGACGUUAGCGGCGGACGGGUGAGUAACACGUGGAUAACCUACCUAUAAGACUGGGAUAACUUCGGGAAACCGGAGCUAAUACCGGAUAAUAUAUUGAACCGCAUGGUUCAAUAGUGAAAGACGGUUUUGCUGUCACUUAUAGAUGGAUCCGCGCCGCAUUAGCUAGUUGGUAAGGUAACGGCUUACCAAGGCGACGAUGCGUAGCCGACCUGAGAGGGUGAUCGGCCACACUGGAACUGAGACACGGUCCAGACUCCUACGGGAGGCAGCAGUAGGGAAUCUUCCGCAAUGGGCGAAAGCCUGACGGAGCAACGCCGCGUGAGUGAUGAAGGUCUUCAGAUCGUAAAACUCUGUUAUUAGGGAAGAACAAAUGUGUAAGUAACUAUGCACGUCUUGACGGUACCUAAUCAGAAAGCCACGGCUAACUACGUG
rnacentral:rRNA from 1 species